AUGUGGCUACUGAGCACUUUCCUCCUGGCAGCUGGGUUUUCUUGCGGUUCUGCACAGGUCUUGCAGCAAAGCCCCGUAUCCAUCACCAAGCCACAAAGCAAAACGGUGCUCAUCAACUGCCACGUCUCCGAUCCGGACUUUAACAACGUUUUCAUUCACUGGUACCGAAAGAGGCCCAACGCAGCUCCCAGGCGCGUUGCCUACAUGUCCUCCAGGCCCUUCCUCGAAAACCCCUCUGAUGAGGGGAAGUUUAGCAUCGAGAAGGACCCCGCCAAAUCGGUCUGCACCCUGAGAGUGAGCAAAGUAACUCUGCAGGACUCGGCUACCUACUACUGUGCCAGGUGGGAUGCACAGCAUUAG